rnacentral:lncRNA from 1 species
GGAAGCUGUUGGAAAUUUGAAUAUGAUAAAUUAGUUUUCAAAGAAGUUUCAUUUCAACUACAAACAAUAAAAUUUGUAAAAAAAAAAAUAUAUUUGAUUUUUCAUUGAAAUUUUGAAUUGAUGAACUAUAAAGCAAAUACUAAAAAAUAUACACAUUAAAUUAAUAGAAAACAAAAACAACAUUAAUCAGUGACUAUCUUUCCGCUAAUAUAUGUAGAAAUAUACCUUUCUUUCUCUCUUGGGGUGGACCUAUAAAACAAUCUGAUAGAUAAGCAAUAUUAGAAGUGGAUUUAUGAUAAUGAUUUUCAUCAAUAUUGGUUAAUGAUGUUGAUGAAGAGAAUGAGGAAGAUGGAGAUGAUGGUGAGGGAAAGGUAUCCAUGCUAAAGCUUUUCUUGAUCAUGUUACUAGAUGAUGAUGAGGAGGAGGAAGAUGAUAGUUGGACCCCAAAGAGACGAAGUCCUCCAAGGGUGAAGGAUGUGCAUGUCCUACAAUUAUGUCCUAUCUUACCACAAUGUGAACACUUUCUUCUCCCCAUUAUGUGUAUAUAUAUGUCUCUUUUUAU